rnacentral:rRNA from 1 species
AGCACCACAACGGGUGGAGCUUGCGGUUUAAUUGGAUUCAACGCCGGAAAUCUUACCGGGACCGACAGCAAUAUGAAGGCCAGGCUGAAGACUUUGCCGGAUUAGCUGAGAGGUGGUGCAUGGCCGUCGUCAGUUCGUACUGUGAAGCAUCCUGUUAAGUCAGGCAACGAGCGAGACCCACGCCCACAGUUGCCAGCGUACUCUCCGGAGUGACGGGUACACUGUGGGGACCGCCGCUGCUAAAGCGGAGGAAGGAAUGGGCAACGGUAGGUCAGUAUGCCCCGAAUAUCCCGGGCUACACGCGAGCUACAAUGGUUGGUACAAUGGGUAUCUACCCCGAAAGGGGACGGGAAUCUCCUAAAACCAAUCUUAGUUCGGAUUGAGGGCCGCAACUCGCCCUCAUGAAGCUGGAAUCCGUAGUAAUCGCGUUUCAACAGAACGCGGUGAAUACGCCCCUGCUCCUU